AGGAAGAAAACAACUUUUUAGCAAGUGAAGUCGCAAGCCUCGUGAAAGAAAACAAACUCUUGAAAAAGAAAUUUAGAGAAAGUCAAGGCAGUACAAAAGAAGACAAGGAAUGUAAGAAACUAAAAGAGGAAAUCCAGAGGUUCCCCAAGGAAAUAGAUGAACUGAAAAUCAUAAGUAUCUUACAUGGUAGUAAGAAAUUAGAACAACCUCAUAUUGUCCCCAGAAAUACAAAAAACAUCAAAGAGACAAAGAACAAGUGGAAACAAAAGAACUGAGAGAAAAACACCAGGAGAAGAUGGCUAAGAAAAAUGCCGUGAUAAGAGAGAACAAGUGGAGACGAAAGAACUGAGAGAAAAACACCAGAAGAAGAUGGCUAAGAAAAAUGCCGUGAACACAUCUCCACCUGCAAUCAACACUCAGAUGAGCAUAGAUUAAUACUAAGAUUAAUAUCAAUCCAGAAGUAAACAAUGCUUGAUGGCAGCAAGACUACUUCAUACACAAAAAUGGAAGAUCAUCUCGAUCAUUGAUAGAGUUAGCAGCGAUGGCUAAAUUGACUAUUUUGAUCAAAGAAAAAAGAAAUAUAAAUACUAUUACUUCUACUUGGAAACCGCUUCUGCACUUUGUGCUUGAGGUGAGAAAAAUUGAACUUUGAUUUUUGGUUUUAUAGUUUAGAUAGAUUUGUUGUUAUAGAAAUGGCUAGUUUAUAUUAUUAUGUAAAAGUAAAAAGUUGAGGUUUGAUGUUAAUGCCUUCUUCUACUGCACCAAAGUAAGUUGGAAGUCAAUGCCUUUUUUUUCUUUUUCCCCUUUUCUUUCCCACCCUUUUCCCUUCCCUAUUUUCCCUACUAUUUAUUUUUGUAUUUUCAUUGUAUGCUAUAUUAUAAACUAAUAAAAAACUGUUUUUAAAAAAGGAAGUAAACAAUGCCCCAAUCAAGGAACUGCCAAACAACCUAGCAGUAAACAGCCCAACCAAAGAAUCACCAAGAUCACUCCCACUAACACUGACAGGGCAGGCCACUAGAAUAUAAAUUGAGAGCAAACCCCACUCCUUACUAGCACUGAUGAUGUUACCUAGUUUGGGCAACGAAAGUUCUGCAGGAAAACCACCAAGCUCAGAGGGCACCAAGGACCCCUCAUUUCA